rnacentral:lncRNA from 1 species
GGCUGCACCUGUGGCACAUGGAAGUUCCUAGGCUAGGAGUCAAAUCGGAACUACAGCUGCCAGCCUAUGCCACUGCCACAGUAACAUGGGAUCUGAGCCCCAUCUGUGAUCUACAUCACAGCCCAAGGCAACACCAGAUUCUUUAACCCACUGAGCAAGGCCAGGGAUUGAAUGCACAUCCUCAUGGAUACUAUUUGGGUUUGUUUCCAUUGAGCCACAACAGGAACUCCCUAAGAUUUAUAUUAAAGUCAGAAAUCACUCUAACUUACUUAUUAGUUCUUACAUUUCACUCAAUGACACAUUACUCAGUAGCAAUCUCAGUAAACGAACGGCUAGGAUGAAAAAAAUGACAUCUGUAUAAAAUCUGCAUUGCUAAAUGGACUCCUGUGACCACAUUUCAUUCAAAUUUCCUAUGACAUCUACCUAACAAAAACACGGAGAAAUAUUAUUGUGCAAGCUAUGUAAAAAGCCUUCAUUCAUAUAAUGAACUGAAUGUCCCAAAUAAAAGUUUACAUUAGCACAUAAGCAGCAGUGCAUGUAUUUUAGUUACCUUCAUUUUUUUAAGAUUAAUUUUUAUUUUAUUUUAAAGUUUGUUCAUGGCCUCUAAAAUAGCAAUAAUGGUAAGAAUAACACAAUUUUCAUAGCACUAUCAUUACUGUAGUAUGCCAACAGAUGUACUAUAGUGCAUCUAUAAACAAUAACAAUUUAGAACAAUAUAAAAUGACCUUUACUUUAAAUUUAAUUUAUGAAUUUAAAUUUAGUGCAUAAACCAUAUAUUAUAGGUAUAUGAAGUACAUAUAUCUAUUAUCUAUAAGUUACUUGUAAAUCAAAUUAUAAUGAAAUUUCAGAAUUAAAAUACAAUAGCAGUUUCAUUUGUUGUAUGAAAAUAGCAAGGAAUUAUUGUUACUAUUAGGGAUACAAGAAGAGCAUAGAUAGUGUACUAAAUAGACCAAAUAUUGAAGCAAAUAUUUAAUUUAUUCAAAGUAUGUACGAAGUAAUGUAAUGCCAUAAUAAGACCUAUGUUACUUUUAAAAGUUUUAUAUUUCUCACUCAGAAUCAAGACACUCUGACUAGUAGAGCUGGAUGGGCCCUUUAAAAUAAUUGAAAGUAAUCAACAGAACAAAAAAGUAAGAACCAACAAAGUUAAGUGACAUGACAGUGGUCAUACAGCUAGUGGCACAGGUGAGAACAGAUGUCUGGAUCCAGAAAUUUUAUUACAUUUUAGUGUUCAUCAAAGACAGCUUUCCCAGCACUGAAGUAAGUCUGGUUUAUGCUAGUAAGAUACGAAAUCUUUAACAAAAACUAGGAGGACUACUACUGAUAGUCUACCAUGUGAUGUGAUUCCCUCCUGAGAGUCAUCAUAAAAUCCAUUUAAGUGUGUUUUUAUUACAGAAAGAAAGAGUGGGAAGCAUUUUGAGAGAAAAAAGGUACUGGUGGAAAUGAAUGUUUUGCAUUAUUUUCUCCAUCUUAUUUAUUUCCUGAUCUUUAUAAAUUCUAGGAACAUAAUCUUAAAAACCAAACUACAGUUGUAAAACUAAACCUACAAAAAUCUGAAACAGUAAUUAUAAUAUUUUAAAAUAACUUAAUGUGAUCAGAAUGGACUCAAACAAAUCUGCCUUUUACCCUGGAGGGAGAUACUCUCUCUUUCAAGUCUGUUUAUUUUAGAAACAUCCUAGAAAAGGUAAAGACAAAAGUUGUCACAAGAAAGAGUAGAAACACCAUGGAGAACUGGCUUCUAACAGAUAAUAAUACCAUCUCUGGCAUCCACAAUAUAGGAAUAAUGGCACUUAAAAUGUAAAAAUUGAAAUCUGUUAUAUAAUGAGUUAUCAUCACUAAUGAUUUUCUAAAAAAAAUAGCUUUUUAUAGUUAAAUGUUGAAAAUUAAACGCUUCUUAAGCCUAAUUUGUCAAGUAAGUCUCAAUAAAGCUGAUACUUUAACAUAUGUAUUUCAUAUGUAAAAUAAAAAGAUCAACAAGUAUCAGGUGACUGUCUUUAGUGCCCCCAAGUCUUUGAUAAAGCAGCCUCUGGAAGAUACAUAGUUCAUCACAAUCAGGGAGUAACUGAUCCACAGUUUCUAUUUGGAAAACUGAAGGGAAAUACUUUUAAAUAUAAACAUACACUUAUAAAAUUAUACUAUCCUUUCCAAGGUCUAAACAAGGAAGUGGAACAAUAUUGGCUCUAGCUGGCUAAAACAAAACAAAACAAAAAAUUGCUGAUAAACAUUAAUUUGAGAAGUAUUUUAGAAAUAAAGCAAAUGGUAAGAACAUAUACUGUUAUCAGUCAAAUGAAUAUAAAUAACUUCCUUUAAAAAACAGUGAUCUUACACAGGCAUGGAGAAUCUUAAAGAACUAUUUAAUCUGACCUUUAAAUUAUCUGGAUAAAAAUCUAAUCUUCCUUUGAUGACCACACUAAGUAAAGCAUGAAAUAUUUCUCAUUUGCUACAGGAUAUAGGUUGUUAAAAGCUCAAGGAGUGAAAAAUAUAAGCUAAGAUUGCAUUCCAUUACACAAUAUAAUCACAUUGGAUCAUGAUAAAGCAUUACAUUAAGGGUUUGCAAUGGUGUUAAAUCUCCUCAAGAGUAACACAUAUUCACAAGAACAGCUGUGGAACAUUUGGGCAAUCGAGACAGAAAAGUAUUAAAGUAUACCCAUAAAUCAUGAAACUUGUAUAUUUGAAAAAUGAAUUAAUGCCCCUGAGUGUGAAGUAUAAUAAACAGGUGUCACAAAACAGAUAUAACAGUAAUAAUUUGAAGUUGAGACAAAUACAUCAUCGGCAAUAUUCAUAAAUUGUGUGAAAUAAGAUUUUCAGAAAUAUGAAUACAUAUAGAAUCACCUAAAAGUGACUAUUCAUGCUAAAUAUGAAAUAGUUUGGGAAAUUCUAUAAUAAACUUUACUUAUUUAUUCUAAAAUAAAAUUAUUUUAGAAAACAUGAUGAACACUUUCUAUCAAUUUCCUGAUUUCAAUAUGAUCAAUCUUUUACAAAGAUAUUUUUAAAUUUCUUGAAUAAGCUAAGAAUUUCUUUUUUUUGCUUUUUAGCACGGUACUCACGGCAUUUGGAAGUUCCCAGGCUAGGGGUCGAAUCAGAACUACACGUGACGGCCUACACCACAGCAAUGGCAGGAUUCGAGCCUUGUCUGCGACCUACACCACAGCUCACAGCAAGGCUGGAUCUCCCACCCACUGAGUGAGGCCAGGAUUGAACCCACAUCCUCAUGGAUUUUAGUUGGAUUCAUUUCCACCACGCCACAAAGGGAACUCCCCAAGCUAAGAAUUUCUGAAGGCACAUUUGUAUUGUUUGAUAUAUAAUUUAGUCACUUGACCAAAAUGUAUUUUUUUCUAUGUUUAAUCAUGUUAACAGCAAUAUACAUCCUAGAAUAAAAUAAAAUAACCUACAUUCAUUUAACACUGAAGUUUUAAUAUCUUUAUUAAUAGGUUCAUAGCUUUGUUAAUUACUUUUUAUUUAAAAAAAAAUCAAUGGAAGCGGGUCACAAAUAGGUAAUGAGAAAGAAAUGCAGAGCCAGACUUUUUUGCCAAACAAGGAUAAUAGCAAGUGGUCUGGAAGUUAAGGAGAAAAAGAGUUUCCUAAAAGAUCAAAGUAAUAAAAUGCUGCAGGGUAGGCAAACAGGAAGAGGUUUGGAAGUCCAAUUUAUUUUCAGUGCUUGGAGUAGAAUCAAAUUGCAAGGUCUAAGAGAAUGAAUGAAAAUGAAUAGAAGUAAAUAGUGUUGACUACUCUCUCAGUUAAUGACAUGUCUGUUCCAUUUAUAAUUGUUCAGAAGAAAUAGCUUAAAGUCAUCCUUCAUUCCUCCUUUUGCUAUCAUACUUCAUAUCCAAUUUAUCAGAAAAUACAGCUACCUCUGCCUUCAAAAUAUAUUAAGAAUAUAACCCCUUUCACUAUCAGAGCUGUUAUUUCCUAGGGCCAGUUCACCAUUAAUUCUUGCCCAGAUUACAGUGAUAGCCUUAUAUUUGGUACCUUGCUUUGAAGUUUCACCCCUAGAGUAUCUUGCUAAUCCUGUUGCAGAAGAAUCUUGUUUAGAAUGUAGCUCCGCUAUUAGGAACUCCUCGGCUCAGACUCUGCAAUAUUUCCCAUCUCAUUUUGAGUCAAAACCACCUCCUUACAAUACCGGACACAAUCUGUGCUCCCCCAUCCCCACUGACACUUCUUUAAUUAAUAUGAUACCAUUAUUCGUGCACUUCACUAUUAACAUAGGACAACUUGUAACUCCAGUAAGUGAGCAGAAGAGGAAUCAACUAUUCUCAAAUGAUUGUAUAAUAAUCAAGAAUAUAUAUAUUUUCACAUAUAAUAAUAUAUGCUAGAAAAUAAAAUAUGAUUAUUUUA